UGUCCAGUAACUCCUAUCCCUAACCCCCGUGGUGCCGCCUGGGAUACGAGUAACCUAAGGAAAGGUCGGGUAACCAACCCCGGUGGGACCUUGGUCGUAUGCUGACAGGGAAGG
rnacentral:ribozyme from 1 species